AUUAGUUUUAUUUGGUGUUAAUAAAUAAAAUUGAGUGUUAAAAUGAAAAAAAAAAAAUGAAUUGAAAAUCAAAUAAAACAAUUAGAAUAAAGAAAAGAAAAGAAAAUAAAAUAAAAGAAAUAAUAACAAUAAUAAUGGAUUGGGCUUAGUUUUUGAGUUGGGCUUGGAUUAUGUGGGCUGGUGGCUUUUAAAAGCAAGUGGGCUGGUGGUUUUUUUAAAAGCCAUGUGAAGUGGGCUGGGCUGUUAAAAAAAAAAAAAAAGGGAAAAGGAGAAGUGGGAAAACUGGUAGCAGCACGCACGCGGGAGAGAGAGAGAGAAAAGGGCACUGUUCAUAAAUUAGGGCACUCGUCGGAAUUUUGAUCGGCCGUUUGGACGGCCAAACGAUCUCCGUUUCGGCCCAAAUUCGGAGGAAGUACUCUAUUCGACUAGACGAACAAGCCUGCGGUGGCUGAUUUUGUUUUUAACGGCCAAAUUUUCAGAUCUGAGAUGCAGAUAUCUCGCCUGAGGAUCCACAGGUGGGACAGGGAGGACUUCAGGAUGCUCCUGGAGCGGCCUAGUGGAGCGUGGCAUUUAUUUGUUAUUGUGUUCCUUUUUGGAUUUUGGGGAUUUGUUUUAGUAAUUAUGACUCAUGGAUUAGCUAUGAAGCUUUAUUUGAUUAAGUUGUUAAUUGUGAACUUUUAUUUUGGACUAUAAUGAAUAUUUAUUUAAUCUUGUUGUUUUGAGUA